GCCCGGAUGGCGGAAUAGGUAGACGCGCCGGUCUCAAACACCGGUGGAGCAAUCCAUCUCGGUUCGAUCCCGAGUCCGGGUACAA
rnacentral:tRNA from 1 species